AGGCACGCGCGGGAGGGGGAGGGGGUUCCGCGCUGGUAUCCUAUCUACCAGUGCCUAUGAGGCGAUGCCGCGCAGGUUGAAGGCGACUUAGGUAGGGACGUGGUAUGAGGGGCAGGCGGACUAGUCGCUCCAGAUGCUCGACAUUGUAAAGACUCUCUGCAAUAAAGUUAAGGCGUUUUCAUUUAUCCACGAUGGAUUCUCAACCGUCAACGAUUUUUAAAUUUACUCCAUAUUACUUUACAGCUGCGAUAUACUUUAUAUAAAUAUAUCAGCGUAUUUAUGUAAUCUAAUUGGUGUCUACCUGUGUUCGUAAUAAAUUCUGAUAUUACUUUUUUAGGCAAAACUUUGUGUUCGCGAUUUAAAUUAUUUUAAUUUAAAUUGGCUGUUUUCUCUCUCGGUUUCUAUGUUCCUAAGAAAUGCUGGUUUUCAGUAAAAAAAAAACAAAUUUUUUACUGAAGUUAAUGACGACUUUUACCUUUUGGCGAAUUUGAUACAUCGAUCAACCCCGUGGAUAUCAGAUCGAAUUUCUCAAGUAAUGCUGGCGUCAGCUGGCUCCAACUAAAAAAGUAAUCAACUAAAAAUCUUUCCUCGUAUUCCUUCAUUCUUUUCGAAUAUAUUGAGUAUUACGUUUCACCUGUAGGAAGUACAGAUGUAAAGUGUGAUAAUGUGUAUCAAGCUUCAGCCAUUAAUAGAUACUGAUAAAAGAAAAGACGAAAUCUUUGUUAUCGGAACACAUAGCGAUGCUAAACAAAGUUCAACAUUAUCUCUAUAUUCCAAUUAAUGACACGUACAUUACGUGGAUCUUUGUAUUUAAUUAGCAUUCUAUUUUAUAAAAGUUAGAUGUGUACCUUUAAAUUAAAUAUUAAUUAAUGAAAAAGUUUACAAGUCUUAUUUCUCUCUUCACUAUUUCUAAAAUCCGAUAUAGGUGUAACUACUGCCCUUGGACGUUUCCCCCUGCUACGUUGCACAAAAAUCUGGCGAGUGCGAAAGUUGCGUAGUCGCAAUUCCGAAUACGCGCGUAACAACGUAAGCGGAUAAAAGGCCAACAAACGAAAGUAAGUAUUAUUAUGCAGCGCCUGGAAAUGUCUCCUUAAUCGCAUUACCGAUUUUUUUCUCAUACGGUUGCGAGCAAUGAUACCCACGUCACAUAAAGCCCAGUGAACGGCGUCGUCUCUUUCGACUCUUUUUUAUUGGCCCACCUCAUUGCUGAAACAUUCGCGUUCAAACGACUCCCCGGCUGUGGGGGAGAAGGUAGGAAUGGAGCAGUGUCGCAUUACGUUAAAACGCAUUGUAAUAUGCGUGUCGGGGAGAACCGCGUCCACUUGGCGCGGACCGACCACCGUUCGGGACUGGGUUACGCUACCACAGCGCGACGUCGUAAAACUCACCGGCGUCGUAGCCUCCUGUAAAACGAGCGCGCGGCACGACGCGUAUGGAAAUUGAUAGCGUGUAUUUCUAUGCCCGUCAGCUUUUCAAACGUAGCCCCGCGUACAGCCGCUCCAUGCACGCGCGUACGCGUAACGUCGGGACAUAUAGCCGAGCGUAGAGCUCUAGAAGCAGCCCCAGCCUCGUUGUCGGGCGAUCUUCAAACGGUCAUCCUGUGAAUCCAUUUCGCGAACUCGUUUCGACACGGUACGCACCUGAAAGGGGACAAAGAGACACGGAGGGAACGUUGACGAAUCGGUCGGCUCGAUCGCGUGUCGUAACGGUACGCGAUGACGUACAUCGGCUCUCUUUCCCAAAAGGUCGGGAUGCCAAGUACAAGGCCGCCUUGGACUAUUCCUGCGUGAGAAGAAGAUCGCGCUUGAAUGGGCGAGACUUUGUAUUUACAUAGCAUUAGCCUUUUGUAGCGGAAUGCAGUAUGUGUGUGUGUGUGUGUGUGUGAAUGGCAUCGGCGCGUCAUUGUUUCGGGCUCCGAUUGACGGAACGAUUCUCCCUCACUACGCUUCCUUAAUGUCUACGUACGCUAAUUAACGGAAUGUACUUGUCAAGCUUGCCGUACAAGAACGUCCGUAAUGCAUUACGUUAAGUACUUUUUAAACUGUUUAAAUCGAUUUUAAAUGUAUCACGUUGCGACUUUCUUUGUGUGUUAACAUAAGUUACUGUUACGGAGAGGAAGAAAGACAGAGAGAGAGAUUCAACUUUAAACUGAGUACUUGACAUAACUUAACGCGUUACGGAUAUGGAGAUUCUAAAUUGUUUCAGGGUGACACAACUUAGCCUGACUUAAGUAUUCUACUCGUUAGGAAUAUAACUUCGAAAGAACGUCAUGGAAAUUCUUGAAGCUCACAAACCUACAGUUUAUAUUGUAGUUCUCAUCAUGAAUAAUUUCUGAAAUCUUAGAUUUUAACUUUUUUAACAUUUGGUCAAGCGGCUUAAAUUUUGUUUCUUUACUUGCAAACUUAUUAUAGCUAGUUCGUUAAUAGCUUAGUACAUGCUUUCUUUAUUUUAUGAUAAUACCUUGCACAUGGAAUAUUGUUCAUACUCUGUAAUAAAUCAAAUGCGAAAGGC